rnacentral:lncRNA from 1 species
AAUGUGGAGAGUAAAUUGGGGGGAUUUGAUCAAAACAAAUGUGUAAAGCCAAGAAGAGUAAAAGGUCAUACAUUAAAAUGAGAGAUUCGUGGAUCAUAAUACAAACCUUUGAGUACACUAUGAAUUUCCAAGGUUUUUCUGUUUAUCGGAGCCAUUUUAAAGCUCUGCCAUGGUAAAUGUGUCCUUGAUAGAUUUUAAUCUGCAAAGAACUUGCGUCAUAUUUAUUCUAUCUUCUGGCAAGUGAAUGGAGCAAGCCAAGCCAACUUUAAGCAAUGAAAUCAAACACUGCUCUAGUAAAUUGCAUUUUGUUUCUCCCAGUGGACUGCUUCUGCUAUUGGCUGCUGUAGUUCUUCUGUGAUCUUCACACAGAAGUACCGGAUCCACAAUGUCCAUCACGCGCUCAGGAAUUGCCAUUUCAACAUAUGUAUGGAGAUCAAGGCCUCCAGUGAACAAAGGAUGUGUAGGCUUCUUCCCUGUCAUCAUCUCCAGCAAUAGGAUUCCGAAGCUGUAGACAUCUCCAUUACUUGAUACCUCUGCACCUAAGCCAUACUCUGCAUUAAUGUUGAAGCUUGUCAGACAGCCAAAGUAUGAAUUGUCAAAAAUAGCUCAGUUUUAAAAUUUGUUGUUUUGUAUAUGAUGUUGAAUGAACAUAGGUAAGAAAGAUUAAUUUAAAAAAAUCAGUCAGAUUUGUACUUUCUUACCUGGAGCUACAUAUCCAAUAGUUCCUCUGAUUCCAGCAGAGCUCGUUUCCUGUAAAUUUGGAGCUGAAUGAACAUAUUUUGCCAGCCCAAGAUCUCCAACAUGGGCUGUCAGAUCGCUGUCAAGUAGAAUAUUACUUGGUUUUAGAUCGCAAUGAACAAUCUGCUUGUGGCAAUGGUGAUGUAGAUAAUCAACGGCACAAGCUACAUCAAUAGCAACAUUAAUUCGCUGAAGAAGGUUUGGUAUAGGAAAAAUGUGCUGCUGAUGUUCAUCUGCUCGAUGCAACCAAGUUUCUAGACUGCCGUUGGGCAUGAACUCGUAGAUUACAGCUUUAAAAUCAUUCCCUUGGAAAUCCAGACCUGAGGAAGAACUUAUAAUCUUCACGAGGUUCCGAUGCCGGAUGUUUCUCAUUGCAUCACACUCAGCAAUAAAACUCUUGAAGGCUCCAUGGUGUUGAAGGUUAAAGACUUUGAUAGCCACCGACAAGUUUCCUCCUUCAGUCAGCACUCCUUUGUAUACGGAGCCAGAGCUACCAGCACCAAUUAGAUUUUCUGCAGAGAAACCAUUAGUAGCUUGAACAAGUUGUCUGUAGCUGACUCUCAGGAAGAGUCUGCCUAAGAAGUUUGGUAAUUUUGGUUGGGUCCUUCUCCUUUUAAAUGACCGUAGUCUGAAAAUUGAGAUUGAGGUUACCACUAUCACCAGGAAGGAACUUGUAAUCACCACUGGUAUGAUGAACCUGAGAGGCUUCAUAUUUUUCUUUGACUCUCCCGGAGGGUGGCACUUUGGCAGCUGUAGUUCAGGAAUGCCUCCACAGAGUCUCCUGUUCCCAACAACUGAUACUGCACUAGCAUUUCCAAAAAUACCUUGUCUUGGCACCUCACCCGAGAAAUCAUUGAAGGACAAAUUCAGGGUCUUAAUUGAUAUACUUGCCAUAUAUUGGGGGAUUUGGCCAGAAAAAUUAUUACUAGAAAGGUCAAGAAUUUGGACACUUCUCAAAGAACUAAUGAAUUCAGGAAAAGAUCCCUGGAAAGAGUUACCAGCAAGGGAAAGGAUUUCAAGGCUACUACAACCGCCAAAGGUCCCUGGAAUUUCACCUGACAGGUGAUUUUCUGAAAGAUCCAAUCCAGCUAAAUUUUUCAAGGUGCCGACCUCUGAUGGGAUUGUUCCAGAUAAACUGUUCUGAGAAAGAUUUAAUGAAAUGGACAGGGAAGAUAUCCCAAAAAUCUCUUUUGGUAUCGUACCACUCAAGUUGUUUUGAGAAAGUCCUAGGAGUAACAACUGCUUGCAGUUUCCGAGAGCUGGUGGAAUGGAUCCCUCCAAGUUGUUAUCAUCUAAAUAGAGUUCAUUCAACAGUGAGAGGUUUCCUACAGACUCUGGAAUUUCUCCUGACAAUUUGUUGGAAAUAAGAGCCAGCCGCUGAAGCUUUUGAAGAUAACCAAUUGUACUUGGAACUGUCCCUGUGAGUUGAUUACUUUCAAGAUACAAGGUCUCUAAGCCAAUGAGAUUACCUAAUGUUGAAGGUAUCCCUCCAUAUAUUUGAUUUCCGCCAAGUGACAUAUAGUCUAAGAAUCGGGAUGAUAAGUUGCCGAUACUGUUGGGCAAGACACCCUUUAUUUGGUUGUCUUGUAGGGAAAUUGCGACUAAUUGGCUGCAGUUUGUCAUGGUGCUGAGAAACUGCAAUCCAUCCAGUACUUCCCCACUUCCAAAAUUAUUAUUUGCAGCUAAUAGGGAAAUAAAAUUUUGCAGGCCUCCAAAAUCAACUGCUAUUCUGCCGCUGAAUCCAUUGUGUCCAAUGUCGAUCCAGCCUAGCUCAGAGGCAUUUGACAAAGAGGCUGGAAGUACCCCCCAGAACUGAUUGUCUCUCAACUGGAGAUACUCAAGGCGAGGAAGCAUGAGACCUAAUGCUGAAGGAAGAGUUCCAUGUAGCUGAUUACUUGGCAGAGACAAAACCUCCAGUUGAGAAAGAUUAUAGACAGAAACAGGGAUGUCACCAUUUAGUCUGUUUCCGCCAAAUCCAAUGCCUUUUAGCGUUUUCAACUGACCUAAGGAUUCAGGAAUAUUACCCUCCAAAUGAUUUGCAGCCGCAGAUAGUAAACUCAGGGAAGUAAAAUUCCCCAUGGAAGGAGGGAUAUUUCCUGUAAGGCUAUUGUUUUGAAUAACUAGAGAUUCAAGGUUCCUCAGAGAACCAAAUUCCGGCGGUAUUCUCCCAACUAGGUUAUUGUAGCUUAGGUCAAGAUGCACAAGCUUGGAGCACCGGGAUAGAUUGCCUGGAAUUUCGCCUUCCAGGGAGUCCCAUGACAGAUUCAGUUCCCGCAGCCUGAAGAGAUUUCCAAACUGGGGCGGGAUUCCACCUUGGAAGGUGUUGUUUCUUAGCAUCAACGCACGAAGAAAGCUGAGGUUCCCAAGAAACGGUGACAAGAAGCCAACCAAGCCCCUGCCUUGAAGAUCUAUGCUGGUCACUCUUCUGUGCCUUCGACCGCAUUCGACACCCUCCCAUGAGCAGAAAUGAUGAGAAUCAUUCCACGAGUUCAUGAUCCCAUAAGGGUCAUGCUGUAUUUUUGACUUGAAAUCCAAUAAAGCAACAUGAUCGUGAUGGUCUGCUUCUUUUCUGUCCAUGGUUUUUGUAGAAGCCAUGCUCAGAGGAAGACCUUUGGCAUGUACCUCCAAUGUCAGUAGUGCUAGCACCAGAUAAAUUCUUUUAGUUUCAGGAAUUGAGAUCAGAAAUCUAGCCAUUGUUCAGUGUGGAAAUGUGGAUGUGAUUCCCUUCUCAAGUAGGAAAAUUCUCAGGUAAGUAAACUAGUGAAAAUGGACAAUCAGUACUGUAAGCAUUAUUUAUAAUUUCAUCAGUGACUUCAUAUGUAAAGGACAGAUUCAAGCAUUGACAAAAUUGAGGUUAGAUUCCAGUGAAAAUGUAAGGAAGGUUAGUUAGAGUGACUGAUUGGGACUGAGUUCUUUCAUUAUUUAAAAAGUUACAGAGUAAAUCUUGGUUGAAUAGAGCCAGGUACAACCUAGCUUAGUAAUCAACUACAUUAGGUAAAGUAGAUAUAUAGACACCUCGGAAAGUGCCAAAAACAAGACAGGAACUUGUACUUAAUUAUACUCUGUGAAGUUAGUUAUUGAAUUUGUCAUACUACUAUUAAACAAGUAUAUUAUGUACAUAGGAAAAAUUUUCCAGCAGUAUUUUCCACGUAUCCUAGCUUCGUUUACCACUAUUGGCAGCUAAUCCAUCAACUCUGAUUGGCUAAGUAUGUCGUUGAUUCCAGCAGUAUCUACUUAGUGUGUAUAUAUAUAAGUGUCAGCAGUAUCUACCAAGUUGCGCGACAUCCCUUUCAUUGUUCUACAGUUUCAUUGUAUAAAAUUACUGUCUAUAUAUUUAUACACACCUACCAAAAAGUAGGAAGGUAUACCUAGGAGAAGUUUACAAGUAGAACCAUCUGUGAUGGACAUUGAUGAACACAAGGAACUAGUAUCCCUUGAUGUUUUACUGCAGAAUGUAUAUUACCGCAAAUUUAGUCAAAGAGUUCACAUUUGUGUCUCUGAAUUAUGCUCUUUGCCUCAUGAUUUUGAUCCCCUUUACUGGGGUGUUUGUUCAUGAUGUAGUGUUGGAAUUUUUUGUAUAAAUUUGUUUUACUCGCAAAAUUGCACCAUUAAAGCUUUUUUUUUUUUUUUUUUUUAAAUUGUAGUUACAAGAUGUACUUCAGCAAAAUUGAAUAGAUAUUCAUGUAUGUAGAAAGAAAAUUAAAGGCCCUUAAGUGUUGGUUUAAACACAUGUUAAAGCUUAUUGCUUGAACAAAACUAAUGGUCUCAUGCUUAAGCAAAAGAACAAAAUAUACAGUUGAGGUCCAUUGAAUUUGGCUAGUCUUGAACACUUUAAAUAGAAAUGCUGUUAAAUAUUAUGCAUUUCUGCAUAAUAUCCGAGAUAUUUUACAUAUUGUUAGUAUCACAAACAAUAUUUCAAGUUUCUAUAUAUAUAUAUAUAUAUAUAGUUAGACAGUUAGUAUCACAAACACAUCUUCUAACUACUUUUUUUAUAUUCUUAACUAUCUUUUAAUUUUACAUACAUUAUAUCAUAAAAAAUGCUAGAGUGUUAUUCCAAAUAAUAUUUUCUAACAAUCUCCUAUCCAAAUAUUUUCUUUACAUCUUUCACAUGAAUUCGUCCUGGUUAUAUUAGACAAAUCUUAGUGUUUACAGCAAACUCUUGUAAUUUUUGCUGUAAUUUGAUUAUUUGAUCAUCACAAUUUGUUUGUUUGAAUCAUCAAGAAAAAAUGGAGGUGAUUAGGACUGUUAACUAUUAACAUCAUAGGACUGGCGAUUGAUUACAAAGCUACAUCAUGGUGAAGAGUUUAGGUGGGGGUUCUGAUCAAUCUAUAUUAAUCCCAAUAGGUUUCUUGAGACUAGCCCACUUGAACAAUGUCACUUCACCAAAAGUUGAUUGGCUUAGCUUUGAGAGGUUGAUGUUCUGUAGGAAGGGUGGCUGCGGGUCGGGUACCCGCUCCGUCCACCAUUUGGCUGAUCUGACCCGCACCUUGCGGGUCAACUAUUUUCUGACUUUUAACUGCCUUGUAUAUUAGCGGGUAUUCGGUUAUAGGGUACUCGCUGAGAUAGGGUUGGGUUGAUGGGUACCCGUCCCACCCCACUUAUCAUUUAAUUUUUUUAAAAAAAAUUAUAUUAAUUUAAUUUUAUAUUUUACACAUUCAUCUAAGAUUUAAUAAAGAUUUUUUUCUCAAAAAAAGUCUCCCACCAAAAAACAAGCAUGCGAAGAGAAUACAAGAUAAAAGAAAAAAAAAAUAAAAGAAUUCAAAAUCAAUAAAAGUUUGAAUUAAGUAGCACAUUUUUUUAAAUAUAUGUUUCACAUUAAUUAAAUUCUUUUCUAUAAAACAUAAGAUUAUGACCUCUACAAAUGAGUUUUGUAAAUAAACUAUAGUAUCUCAUGUUUGUAAUGCAAUUUGUUUAGUGAAAUUACUUAUUUGGCUCUAAAAAUAUUGUCUCCGUUUGGAUUAGCUGUUUUUUGGGAUGUUUUUAAAAAUUUUUACUGUAACAGUGUAUAUCGGGCACCCACAGGUUUUUAAUUAUGAGAGCCUAAUCCACCUUGUAUUUUAGUGGGUACUCGACCAUUUUUUGAUCCGAUCAAAUAAUAUAAAUCGAGUAUUCUAAUUUUUGGAUUAGAUCGGAUUGGAUCGGAUCUAUCGACUUUUCGGGUUAAUAGAUAAAUUUGCUCACCCCUAUUAGGAGUAUGCAAUCGGAUUAAAUUAUUGGGAAAAUUGGAAAAAGGGUAGAGACGGAUUCAAAAAUUAUAAGAAGGGGGUAAGUUUUUGAUAUAUUGCUAUAGGGAAAAAUUUUAUUAUUUUUGAAAUCCUUAAAAAAAAAACAUGUUGAAAUUGAUAUGACCAAAUUACAGCAACCCCGAUAAAAAAUUUUAGAUUUUAAUUAUAUACACAUAUGCGCCCAAUAUAGUGCCAUGUAAAAGAUUGAGGAGGCUUGAGGUCGUAGAGGUUUUGAGUUUAAAUCCUUUCCCUUACUCCUUUUGACUUCUUAAAUUCCAUCGUUCCACUAUUGGGAUUAAAAAAAAGAAAAAAGAAAGGUUCAAAGUUUGAGAUUAAUUCUAAGAUGAAGUGAAAGGCAGGCCUCUCCCAAACUAGGGUUAAAUGCACUAAACCUCUUAAUGUUUAAGGUGAUUUGAAUUUUUUCCCCUGACAGUAUCUUUAUUGCUCAUUUUUCCCUCCCCAAAGCCACAUGAAUUUUUUUCCUUUAAAAAAAAAGGUUACAAUUUCUUAAUUUUUAUCCAUUCUUCUUCAUACUGCCCAAACUUCUCCUAUCAUCCAUAUUUUUAGUGGUGAAAUUUUUUUUUGAGAAAUCAAGAAAUAAAUUUCCAAAAUAUUCCACUUCUAAUUAAAAAAAAUCACCAAAUUAAAUAAAUUCAAAAUUUUGUUAUUAUCCAAAAUAUUCCUCCUCAAGUUAUGAACAUUAAUAAGUGAAGGUGAUAUAGAAAUAUGGUAAUACAUCCCUUAUAUGCAUUCUGUGGACAGUCAAAAACUUUGAUAACAAUUAAAAAAAAAGUUUUAAAUGGUACUCUUUUUUGUUAAUCAUUCUAUAAUUUCUUUCCACACGAAACGACUUAUGUCACAUUUUACAAUACAGAAUGUAUUCAGAUGCAAAAACUAGUAGUUGACCAAAUUCACAUUCAUAUACAUAGACCGGAGAUUAGUACUUUUUGCAAUGUGAUAUAUAUGAGAUAAAAAAAUAAUUGAAAAGAUAAAAUGAUAUGUUGAAAAAUGUGUCUGCGAUGAGCUGAGGCAAAAUGGACAACAUAUAAACAUUAUUAACUUGAGUUGACCCGAAACAAGAAACUGUUAUUUAAGCCGUAAGUUGAAUUGAACAAUUUACUUUCAACUCAUUCGAGAAUGCACGAAAAGGCUAGCGUUAAAUGACUUGAUUAACUGCAAUGUGGAGAGUAAAUUGGGGGGAUUUGAUCAAAACAAAUGUGUAAAGCCAAGAAGAGUAAAAGUUCAUUUACAUUAAAAUGAGAGAUUUGUGGAUCAUAAUACAAACGUUUGAUUACACUAUGAAUUUCAAGGUUUUUCUGUUUAUUGGAGCUAUUUUAAAGUUCUACCAUGGUAAAUGUGCCCUUAAUAGACUUUAAUCUGCAAACAACUUGCGUCAUAUUUAUUCUAUCUUCUGGCAAGUGCAUGGAGCAAGCCAAGCCAACUUUAAGCAAUGAAAUCAAACACUGCUCUAGUAAAUUGCAUUUUGUUUCUCCUAGUGGACUGCUUCUGUUAUUGGCUGCUGUAGUUCUUCUGUGAUCUUCACACAGAAGUACUGGAUCCACAAUGUCCAUCACACGCUCAGGAAUUGCCAUUUCAACGUAGGUAUGAAGAUCAAGGCCUCCAGUGAACAAAGGAUGUGUAGGCUUCUUCCCAGUCAUCAUCUCCAGCAAUAGGAUUCCGAAGCUGUAGACAUCUCCAUUACUUGAUACCCCGGCACCUAAGCCAUACUCUGCAUUAAUGUUGAAGCUUGUUAGACAGCCAAAGUAUGAAUUGUCAAAAAUAGCUCAGUUUUAAAAUUUGUUGUUUUGUAUAUGAUGUUGAAUGAACAUAGGUAAGAAAGAUUAAUUUAAAAAAAUCAGUCAGAUUUGUACUUUCUUACCUGGAGCUACAUAUCCAAUAUUUCCUCUGAUUCCAGCAGAGCUCGUUUCCGGCAAAUUUGGAGCUGAAUGAACAUAUUUUGCCAGCCCAAGAUCUCCAACAUGGGCUGUCAGAUCGCUGUCAAGGAGAAUAUUACUUGGUUUUAGAUCGCAAUGAACAAUCUGCUUGUGGCAAUGAUGAUGUAGAUAAUCAACGGCACAAGCCACAUCAAUAGCAACAUUAAUUCGCUGAAGAAGGUUUGGUAUAGGAAAAAUGUGCUGCUGAUGUUCAUCUGCUCGAUGCAACCAAGUUUCUAGACUGCCGUUGGGCAUGAACUCGUAGAUUACAGCUUUAAAAUCAUUCCCUUGGAAGUCCAGACCUGAGGAAGAACUUAUAAUCUUCACGAGGUUCCGAUGCCGGAUGUUUCUCAUUGCAUCACACUCAGCAAUAAAACUCUUGAAGGCUCCAUGGUGUUGAAGGUUAAAGACUUUGAUAGCCACCGACAAGUUUCCUCCUCCAGUCAGCACUCCUUUGUAUACGGAGCCAGAGCUACCAGCACCAAUUAGAUUUUCUGCAGAGAAACCAUUAGUAGCUUGAACAAGUUGUCUGUAGCUGACUCUCAGGAAGAGUCUACCUGAGAAGUUUGGUAAAUUUGGUUGGGUCCUCCUCCUUUUAAAUGACCGUAGUCGGAAAAUUGAGAUUGAGAUUACCACUAUCACCAGGAAGGAACUUGUAAUUACCACUGGCAUGAUGAACCGUAGUCGGAGAAGCUUCUUAUUUUUCUUUGACUCUCUUAGGGGCUGACACUUUGGUAGCUGUAGUUGGGGAAUGCCUCCACAGAGUCUUUUGUUCCCAACAACUGAUAUAGCACUAGCAUUUCCAAAAAUGCCUUGUGUUGGUAGCUCGCCCACAAAAUCAUUGAAGGACAAAUUCAGGGCCUUUAUGGACAUUCUUACUAAAAAUUGGGGGAUUGGUCCAGAAAAAUUGUUACUAGAAAGGUUAAGAUUUUGAAUACCUUUCAAAGAACUGAUAAAUUCUGGAAAAGAUCCCUGGAAAGAGUUACCAGCAAGGGAAAGGAUUUCAAGGCUACUACAACCACCAAAGGUCCCAGGAAGUUCACCUGACAGGUGAUUUUGUGAGAGAUCCAAUCCAGCUAAAAUUUUCAAGGUGCCAACCUCUGAUGGGAUUGUUCCAGAUAAAUGAUUCUGGGAAAGAUCUAAUGAAAUGGACAGGGAAGAUAUCCCAAAAAUCUCUUUUGGUAUCGUACCGCUCAAGUAGUUUUGAGAAAGUCCUAGGAGUAACAACUGCUUGCAGUUUCCAAGAGCUGGUGGAAUGGAUCCCCCCAGGUGGUUAUCAGCUAAAUAUAGUUCAUUCAACAGGGAGAGGUUUCCUACAGACUCUGGAAUUUCUCCUGACAAUUUAUUGGAAUGAAGAGACAGCCGCUGGACUUUAUGAAGAUAACCAAUUGUACUAGGAACCGUCCCUGUGAGUUGAUUACUUUCAAGAAAUAAAAGCUUUAAGCUGAUGAGAUUACCUACCGUUGAAGGAAUUUCUCCGUAUAUUUGGUUUCCACCAAGUACCAAGUAUUGGGAUGAUAAGUUACCGAUACUGUUGGGCAUGAUCCCCUUUAGUUGGUUGCCACCUAGGUCAAUUCCAAAUAAUUGGCUGCAGUUUGUCAUGGUACUGAGAAACUGCAAUCCAUCCAGUACUUCCCCACUUCCAAAAUUAUUAGCUGCUGCCAAUAGCCAAUGAAAAUUUAGCAGGCCUCCAAAAUCAACUGCUAUUCUGCCGCUGAAUCCAUUGUCUCCAAUUUCGAUUCGGCCUAGCUCAGAGGCAUUUGACAAAGAGGCUGGAAGUACCCCCCAGAACUGAUUGUCUCUCAACUGGAGAUACUCAAGGCGAGGAAGCAUGAGACCUAAUGCUGAAGGAAGAGUUCCAUGCAGCUGAUUACUUGACAGAGACAAAACCUCCAGCUGAGAGAGAUUAUAGAUAGAAACAGGGAUGUUACCAUUUAGUCUGUUUCCGCCAAAUGCAAUGAUUUUUAACGUUUUCAACUGACCUAAUACUUCGGGAAUUUUUCCCUCCAAAUGAUUUUCGGCCGCAGAUAGUAUACUCAGGGAAGUAAAAUUCCCCAUGGAAGGAGGGAUAAUUCCUGUUAGGUUAUUGUAGUGAAUCGCGAGGAAUUCAAGGUUCCUCAGGUAACCAAAUUCUGGUGGUAUUCUCCCAACUAGCCUGUUGAAGCCUAGGCUAAGUUGCAAAAGCUUGAAGCACUGGGAUAGAUUGCCUGGAAUUUCGCCUUCCAGGGAGUUCGAUGACAGAUUCAGUUCCUGCAGCCUGAAGAGAUUUCCAAACUGGGGCGGGAUUCCACCUUGGAAGGUGUUGUUACCUAGCAUCAACGUACGAAGAAAGCUGAGGUUUCCAAGAAAAGGUGACAAGAAGCCAACCAAGCCUCUGCUUUGAAGAUCUAUGCUGGUCACUCUUUUGUGCUUGCGACCGCAUAGAAUUCCCUUCCACGAGCAGAAAUCAGAGUCAUUCCAUGAGUUCAUAAUCCCAUAAGGGUCAUGUUGAAUUUUUGACUUGAAAUCCAAUAAAGCAACAGGAUCACCAUCACGAUCACGAUUACGUGCUUCUCUUUUGGCCAUGGUUUUUGUGGAAGCCGUGUCCAAAGGAAGAUUUUUGGCAUGCAACACCAAUACUGUCAGCAGUGCUAGCGCGAGACAAAUCCUUUCAGUUGCAUGAAUUGAGAUUAAAAAUCUUGCCAUUGUCCAGAGUGGAAUUGUGGAUGAGAUUCCCUCUCGAGUAGGAAAAUACUUGCAGUAGACUAGUGAAAUUUGAUAAUCAGUACAUAGGUUACUCCGUUUGUGCAAGGACAGAUUCAAGCAUUGAUAGAUUGAGGUUAGAUGCUAGUCAAAAUGCAUUAAGGGCUAGACUUGAGUCCCGGGAUUUGACCGCAGACUUAGAAAGCCACCUACAGACGCUUUACGCCCAAUCAUUCCGGAUAACGCUUGCAUUUUAGAGUGACCAGACUCCAGCUUAAGUUCUUUGUUUCUAAAUGAAAAGCUGUACAAUAAACCUUAGUAGACUCGGGACCAAUACAAUUGUAAACUAUUAAUUAGGUUUUUGCGUACAUUUGAUCCACAUCGGGACAAGUAUGAUUGACGUUUGAUACAAUUGGUACGAUUAUUAUACUUUUUACAAAAGUUAGCAUACGUUUACAAACGUGAUUGUAUUCAUAUACUAUACUAAUUUAAUGUACAUGAACACAUGUAUAUAGUAAAACAAUAUUCAUGCAUACUAAAUUAUAUAAAAUAUACACCGAUCAAAUAUGCGCAUGGAGAUCUCAACAUUACUUGUCCUCAAUUAUAUUUACUUGUUAUACCUUAUCGUGUCCAAUUACACUAUUCUUGGAGGAUGAGUGCAUGGGAUAUUUUAUUCAUCUAUACCGUUUUAAUUGUAUAGGAAGGAUUAUACAAUAAUUGUCCUCAAUGGGGAUCAACUUGGAAGCUUUACGAUGGAUUCAAUGGAUUUCUACCUUGUAUAUAAAUAAGAAGAAAAUCAAGUUACUGUAGCAAUCGAUCUUAGAUUUAAAUCUGAAUUUCCUAUACGUAUGCAUUCGAUUCAAACUGAGUGUCAAAAUGCUUUUGUGUUGUACAUAUUUAAUUUUUUUGUGUAUAAUUAUAUUAUAAUAUUAUACCGAAUAUAUGUAAAGUAUUUUAUUAAUGUACACUAUUUCUUUUUUUUUUUUUCACGAGUUCAAUAACAUAAAAUGUGAUUAUACGCCAAACCAUGUAACAAGUAUAAUGACCAAAUUGAAUUACACGGAACCAAAACCGCACUGGCACUCAUUCCGUCCAAUGCAGUGUCAUGUAAAGAGUCUUACUUUUGAAAUUGUCAUCAUCGUAAUGCAUACUAUUUAACCUUUGAUUUUUCUGAAAGGAACUCAAACAGUUAUGUGCUCCAUUGACUUGUAACUAUCAAGUUUGCAUACCAUCCUCCAAAGAAAUUGAAAGUUGACACUGCCAACCAAAUAAUCGAAUGGUUUUGGUUACAUUUGAUUCUUUUGGAAAGAGUUUAAAGGCCACACUCAAUUCAAUGAAAAUUUGACAUUUUGCAGCCAAUUAUUCUAAUGGUUUUGUUUGUAUCCCUGGACAAGAAUUUAUGCUAAGGCAUGGGCACUAAUGUGCUUGAGAUCCCACAUUGUAUGGUUUGUGAAAGGAAAACUCCAAAUUGCGUAGUCAUGUGGAGAAAAUUAAAAGUCGUUGGAGAGGUUGAUGCAAUUGUUAACUUAUAAUAUGGGCAAAGGUGGGAAAAGGGUAAUUUUUUGAAGAGGCAAAUUGGAUUGAACCUAAUGCAUACAGGAUACAACUGGUUUCUAGCCAAAUAAAGGUAAAGCGGAUGGCCAAAUUCUCAAAAAUUGGGAAAGAAAAAUGUUGUUAUUAGAAGGACAGUUCAUUGAUAAUUGCAGAACCAUUUCAGACAGCCAAAGUUUAAACAUAAAAUGUCAAAAACAAUUUAUAUCAAGGGAAAAUUUUCGUGUUUUUUAUAUGAUGUUGCAUAAUUAUAUGUACAAACAAUAAAGAAUCAAAUAUAUGUGUUCUUUCUUUCCUGGAGCCACAUAUGACAUAUCCUAUAGUUCCUCUGAUCCCAGCAGAGGUGCUUUCUAAUGAUCUGGGAGGUGAAUGAAGAUACUUUGACAGCCCAAAAUCUCCAACAUGGGCUAUCAGAUCACUGUCAAGAAAAUAUUGUUUGGUUUAAGAUCGCAAUGAGCAAUCUGCCUGUGGCAAUGAUGAUGUAGGUAAUCGAGGGCACAAGCCACAUCAAUAACAACAUUAAUUCUUUGAAGAAGGUUCAGUCUAUGAAACAUCUUCUGCUGAUCUUCUUCUGUUGGAUGCAACCAUUUUUCUAGACUCCCAUUAGGCAUGAACUCAUAGAUUAAAGCUCUAAAUUCAUUCCCUUGGAAAUCCAGACCGGAGGAAGAACUUACAAUCUUCACAAGGUUUCGAUGCCGGAUGUUUCUCAUUGCUUCACACUCAGCACUAAAACUCUUUAAAAGAUCCAUGGUGGAAAAGGUUAAAGGCUUUGAUUGCCACUGCUAAGUUUCCAGCUUCAGUCAGUGUUCCUUUAUAUACUGAGCCAGUGCUACCAACACCAAUUAAAGCUUAUUGCUUGAACAAAACUAAUAGUCUCAUGCUUAAGCAAAAGAACAAAAUAUACAGUUGAACUCCAUUAAAUUUGGCUAGUCUUGAACACUUUAAAUAGAAAUGUUGUUAAAUAUUAUGGGUUUCUACAUAAUAUCCGAGAUAUUUUACAUAUUGUUUGUAUCACAAACAAUACUACAAGUUUCUACCUAAAUAUAUAUCACAAACAAUAUAUAUAUAUAUAUAUAUAUAUAUAUAUAUAUAUAUAUAUAGUUAGUUAGUAUCACAAACACUUCUAACUACUUUUUUUCUUAAUAUUCUUAACUGUCCUUUUGGAUUAAUCUUUCCUACACUGACAGUGUAUACACUAUCAGCAUUGGAUGAAUGAUAACUAUGCAAAAUUUGAGUUUGAAAUUCAACUUUUGUACUCAUGUCAUGAAUCCAACGAUAAUAGUGUAUACACCGUCAGUGUAGGAAAGAUUUACUCCUGUCUUUUAAUUUCACAUACAUUACAUCAUAAAAAAUGCUAUAAUGUUAUUCCAAAUAAUAUUUUCUAAAAAUCUCCUAUCCAAACAUUUUCUUUACAUCUUCCACAUGAAUUCGUCCUGGUUGCAUUAGAUAAAUCCAAAAUCUUGUAAUUUUUCCUGUAAUUUGAUUAUUUGAUCAUCACAAUUUGUAUGUUUGAAUCAUCAAGAAAAAAUGGUGGUGAUUAGGACUGUUAACUAUUAACAUCAUAGGACUGGCGAUUGAUUACAAAGCUACAUCAUGGUGAAGAGUUUAGGUAGGGGGUUUUGAUCAAUCUACCUAUAUAUAUAUAUACACACAUAUGUAUAUUAAUCCCAAUAGGUUUCUUGAGACUAGUCCACUUGAACAAUGUCACUUCACCAAAAGUUUAGACGACGAUGUUUUGUUGCAACCAGAUCAUAAAUUAUUGGGAAAAUUGGAAAAAGGGCAGAGACGGAUUCGAAAAUUAUAAGAAGGGGGUAGGUUUUUGAUAUACUGUUAUAGGGAAAAAAUUUAUUAUUUUUGAAAUUCUUAAAAAAAAUACGUUGGAAUUGAAAUGACCAAAUUACGGCAACCCCCAUAAAAGAUUUUAGAUUUUAAUUAUCUACACAUAUGCCUCCAAUACAGUGUCAUGUAAAAGAUUGAGGAGGUUUGAGGUCUUAAAGGUUAUGAGUUUAAAUAGGAAUAGCAACGGGGCGGGUUUGGGGCGGGGACCCCGCUUCGCUGUCCAAUACUUCCCCCCACCCCUGCCUUGCCUCCCAUCCCCCGCUUCCCCCCACCUCGCCCCCACCCCGCCCUACUUUCGCCGUGGGAUUAAUAAAAAUUUGUCAUAUAAUUUCAUUGUAGUUAAAUUUUAGCAAAUGAUUAAGUACUAAAAUAUCAAUACAUUACUAAAUCGUUAUACAUUGUAAUUUAACAAUUGAAAUCUGUAAGAACAAUCAAACAAAAAUUAUUUGAAUACAAUCUAACAUGAUGAAACAAAUAAAACUAAAGUAGUCAAGUUUUCACUUUUGAAAUAAAUAUAAUCACUAAGUCUUUAUUGUAUUUUUUUUUGACAAAAAAUAUUAUUGUGUUAAGUGUAAUUAGAAAUUUAGUAUAAAUAUAUUAGUAAAUUUAGUAUAACUAAUUAAUAAUUUCUAUUAGUAGAUAUGUAUAAUUAUUAGUCUAAUUGAUAAUAUCAAUUGUAUUACAUAUAUUAAUAUACAUUAUAUAAUACUUAUAAUUAAUAACAUUAUUAUUAUAAGUUUGUAACUAAUUAAAUUAAAUAUUACAUACAUAUAUAUAUAUAUAUAUAUAUACACACACUAACGAGUGGGGGGCGAGGGAUGGGGCAGGGUGAUUAGCCUCCGCGGUUGCCAUCCCUAGGUUUGAAUCUUUCCCCUUAUUCCUUUCGACUUCUUAAAUUCUAGCCUUCCACUAUUGGGAUUAAAAAAAAAAAAGAAAGGGUCAAAGUUUUGAGAGUAAUUCUGGGAUGAAGUGAAAGGCAGGACCCUCUCAAACUAGGGUUAAAUGCACUAAACCUCUUAAUGUUUAGGGUGAUUUGAAUUUUUUCCCCCUACAUUAUCUUUAUUGCACUUUUUUCCCUCCCCUAAGCCACAUCAACUUUUUGCCUUAAAAAAAACGGUUCCAAUUUCUUUUUUUUUUUUUUAUCCAUUCUUCUUCAUACUGCCCAAACUUCUCCUAUCAUCCAUAUUUUUAGUGCUGAAAUUUUAUUUUCUUUUUUUUGAGAAAUCAAGAAAUAAAUUUCCAAAAUAUUCCACUUCUAUUAGAAAAAUCACCAAAUUAAAUAAAUUCAAAACUUUGCUAUUAUCCAAAAUAUUCCUCCUCAAAUUAUAAACAUUAAUAAGUGAAGGUGAUAUAGAAAUAUGGUAAUAUAUCCAUUAUAUGCAUUCCGUGGACAGUUAAAACUUUGAUAACAAUUAAAAAAAAAAGUUUUACAUGGUACUCUUUUUUGUUAAUCAUUCUAUAAUUUUUUCCACACGAAACGACUUAGGUCACAUUUUACAAUACAGAAUGUAUUCAGAUGCAAAACUAGUAGUUUACCAAAUUCACAUUCAUAUACAUAGACAGGAGAUUAUUUAAAAGAAUAACUGUAAUACUUUUUGGAAUAUGAUAUAUAUGAAAUAAAAAAAUAAUUAAAAAAAUAAAAUGAUAUGGUGAAAAAUGUGUCUGUGACGUAAGCAAACAAUUUUUUGACAAAUAAUUUCUAUCCAAACACCCCGGCAUUUUUCUUUCUUUCUUUCUUCUUUCCCCUAAACAUCUGGUUAUGCACGUAUGGAUUUAAUUUGGAAACUUGGAGCUUGAUCAACUUCAUCUUGAGCUCAUGCUAAGCCUUUUCUGCUGAUUUUCACCACUGUCAUGCAUCCCACCCUGCCACUGCUACAGAAACCAUCAAUUAUAGCUGAAUCUUAAUCCAAUGUCCAACAUUUUUCUAAGGCUCAUACUGUAUGGAUUGGAUCAUAAUGCAAUAGCAAGAUGAAAGACUGAAAUCUCUUCCUCUCUCCCAAAACAAAAACAACCUUCUUGUACUUCAAGGUUCCUCAGAUCAUUAAGCAAAAGGUCAGUCAUUGCUGCUUAAAGAUUGUCACACCUGAAGUUAAUUAGUUCACUGCCACACUAAUAAGAUGAGCUGAGGCAAAAUUGACAGCAUAUAGACAUUGUUAACUUGAGUUGACCCGAAACAAGAAACAGUUAUUUAAGCCGUAAGGUGAAUUGAACAAUUUACUUUCAACUCAUUCGAGAAUGUGCGAAAAGGCUAGUGUUAAAUGACUUGAUUAACUGCAAUGUGGAGAGUAAAUUGGGGGGAUUUGAUCAAAACAAAUGUGUAAAGCCAAGAAGAGUAAAAGUUCAUUUACAUCAAAAUGAGAGAUUUGUGGAUCAUAAUACAAACGUUUGAGUACACUAUGAAUUUCCAAGGUUUUUCUGUUUAUCGGAGCUAUUUUAAAGCUCUGCCAUGGUAAAUGUGUCCUUGAUAGAUUUUAAUCUGCAAACAACUUGCGUCAUAUUUAUUCUAUCUUCUGGCAAGUGCAUGGAGCAAGCCAAGCCAACUUUAAGCAAUGAAAUCAAACACUGCUCUAGUAAAUUGCAUUUUGUUUCUCCUAGUGGACUGCUUCUGUUAUUGGCUGCUGUAGUUCUUCUGUGAUCUUCACACAGAAGUACUGGAUCC